AGGACAAACGCUGGCGGCGUACCUAAGACAUGCAAGUCGAACGAGGUUUCCGGCUUCGGUUGGAAAGCGAGUGGCGAACGGGUGAGUAACACGUAGGAACCUGUCAUUCAGUGGGGGAUACCGCUGGGAAACCGGCGCUAAUACCGCAUACGGUCCCGGAAACGGGAGCAAAGCCUUUCGAGGCGCUGAAUGAGGGGCCUGUGGCCGAUUAGCUAGUUGGUGGGGUAAAGGCCUACCAAGGCGACGAUCGGUAGCUGGUCUGAGAGGAUGGUCAGCCACACUGGGACUGAGACACGGCCCAGACUCCUACGGGAGGCAGCAGUUAGGAAAUUUUCACAAUGGGGGAAACCCUGAUGGAGUAACGCCGCGUGGAGGAUGACGGCCUUCGGGUUGUAACUCCUUUCUGUGGGAAGAGAAGAAGACGGUACCACAGGAAGAAGCAUCGGCUAACUACGUGCCAGCAGCCGC
rnacentral:rRNA from 1 species